rnacentral:rRNA from 1 species
GACGAACGCUGGCGGCGUGCCUAAUACAUGCAAGUCGAGCGGACCACUUCGGUGGUCAGCGGCGGACGGGUGAGUAACACGUGGGCAACCUGCCUGUAAGACUGGGAUAACACCGGGAAACCGGUGCUAAUACCGGAUAAUCCUUUCCUUCACAUGAAGGAAAGCUGAAAGACGGUUUCGGCUGUCACUUACAGAUGGGCCCGCGGCGCAUUAGCUAGUUGGUGAGGUAACGGCUCACCAAGGCGACGAUGCGUAGCCGACCUGAGAGGGUGAUCGGCCACACUGGGACUGAGACACGGCCCAGACUCCUACGGGAGGCAGCAGUAGGGAAUCUUCCGCAAUGGACGAAAGUCUGACGGAGCAACGCCGCGUGAGCGAUGAAGGCCUUCGGGUCGUAAAGCUCUGUUGUCAGGGAAGAACAAGUACCGGAGUAACUGCCGGUACCUUGACGGUACCUGACCAGAAAGCCACGGCUAACUACGUGCCAGCCGCCGCGGUAAAAC